GCUAAGGUACAUUCUAUAAUUGUUUGUUGUAUUAGUUAAUCAUUUUUCUUCUAGUCGUCAGCUCACAAUACAACAAGUGAUUCACUCUUCACGCUUUGUGUUUGAAUGGUUGCGUCUGUAGUUUGAGAUAUUAUUGUAAAUAUUGAAACAAUCUUUAUAAACAGAUUCCAUGUGUGACAUCUAUUGUGACAUUUAGUUUAAGGAACUGAAGGUGGAGUUUCCAUGUAUAACGUUCUAAAUCAUAUUCUUUGCAGGAGAGAAAGAAGAUUAUCUAAGCAAUGAAAGAGGAUGAUCAAAGAAGCCAUGUUUUAAAGAUGGCUACUGAUCACUUUGGAAGUAUGAUAAUACCUUGACUACUGUGUGUGCUUGCAUGUAUUUUCUCUCAUUGAUGACAAAAAGCUUGUGACCAAGGUGGUUUCCCGGAACCAAAUAAUAAAUUGGUGGAUUCUAUACACGUGUCUUCCGAUCCUUCUGAAACUUCUUCAACCUUGUGCACUGCAGAUUAUUGUUCGUGAGCUGGAGGCACCUUAAAGGAUCUAGUUGUAGAAUAGGUUUGUGUACGUUUAUAUUGAAAAGCACUAAGAGAUAAAGUUUGAGAGUUUUAAUGUACUUAGUGUCAUUUCUUCAAUCUGGUAGAGGUUAUUGUACUUUUGUCAUUUCUUCAAUCUAGACUUCUCGUCUUUGAUUUCUUUAGGCUAUAUGUGACUAAAAUGUCGAGUUCUUCCAGUAUUUGUUUUUUUUUUCUUAACGUAUGACUCCACAAUUGUAUGUGCAGAAUGGUACGAGACCACUAUUGCAGCUACUUUAUCCAAAUUCUUCACGGUAUUUGAGUAAUGAUGAUUUGCCCUCUCUUGAUCUGUAUGUUCCAUCACUGUGCUUAAUGCUACGCUUAUAUAACCCCUACUAUCUACUUAACUAAAAUGCUAUCAUUUUUCUUUCUUGUGGAAUUGGAUGUAUAACCUGUCUGUCUUUACCAUUCAGUUUCAGGAUAAGUCAGAGACAUUGUCUGAAACAAAGGAAUCAGAUGGUAAAGAAUCUGUUGAGAAGGCGAAAGAUGAACGAAAGUGCUAUCAAAAUACCAGAAACCAAAAGACUAGAAUGAUGCAGCCAACUUUGCUGAACCACAGUUUUUGUGUGUCUUUUCAAACAAGUUACUAGGUUCAGAGUCUUUUUUCCUUCUAUAGUUCUAUUACAUUCAUGCAGCUUUAAAAACCACUGUUCCGAUGUAUUCAAAUUCAAACGUUAACUGCAAGUGAGUUUCUUCUGGAAGACUUUCUUUCCAUA